rnacentral:rRNA from 1 species
AUUGAACGCUGGCGGCAGGCCUAACACAUGCAAGUCGAGCGAGCGGCGGCCGGGUGAGUAAUGUCUGGGAAACUGCCUGAUGGAGGGGGAUAACUACUGGAAACGGUAGCUCAUACCGCCUACCAUCAGCUGUGCCCAGAUGGGAUUAGCUGGUAGGUGGGGUAACGGCUCACCUAGGCGGCGAUCCCUAGCUGGUCUGAGAGGAUGACCAGCCACACGGGGACUGAGAAACGGACCAGACCCCUACGGUAGGCAUCAGUGGGGAAUAUUGCACAAUGGGCGCAAGCCUGAUGCAGCCAUGCCGCGUGUGUGAAGAAGGCCUUCGGGUUUUAAAGCACUUUCAGCGGGGAGGCGUUACCCGCAGAAGAAGCACCGGCUAACUCCGUGCCAGCAGCCGCGGUAAUAC